AAUAGAUACCCAGGUAGUCCACGCCGUAAACGAUGAGUGCUAAGUGUUAGAGGGUUUCCGCCCUUUAGUGCUGAAGUUAACGCAUUAAGCACUCCGCCUGGGGAGUACGGCCGCAAGGCUGAAACUCAAAGGAAUUGACGGGGGCCCGCACAAGCGGUGGAGCAUGUGGUUUAAUUCGAAGCAACGCGAAGAACCUUACCAGGUCUUGACAUCCUCUGACAACCCUAGAGAUAGGGCUUCUCCUUCGGGAGCAGAGUGACAGGUGGUGCAUGGUUGUCGUCAGCUCGUGUCGUGAGAUGUUGGGUUAAGUCCCGCAACGAGCGCAACCCUUGAUCUUAGUUGCCAUCAUUUAGUUGGGCACUCUAAGGUGACUGCCGGUGACAAACCGGAGGAAGGUGGGGAUGGACGGUCAAAGUCAUCAUGCCCCUUAUGACCUGGGCUACACACGUGCUACAAUGGACGGUACAAAGAGCUGCAAGACCGCGAGGUGGAGCUAACCGUCAUAAAACCGUUCUCAGUUCGGAUUGUAGGCUGCAACG
rnacentral:rRNA from 1 species